CCUCUGCCCAGCCUACCCCGGCCGUAGGUCUAAAGCCUUGCUGCGUUGCAUUGUGGCUUGUCGUGAGCCGGGAGGCUCCAGGGCAGAGUUGGCGAGGGGGCAAGGGGUGCAAAGGGCCGGGGCAGCAGGUGGGAGCCUCUCCACACAGACGCCUCCACUCCUUCAGUAGGCCGCUCGCUGCCCCCAUGUUCCUGAGAAGCGUCUACGCACGGCUACUGAGCCGCGGACCUUGCCUUCGAGUCUUUCACUCAUGGGGCUCGGCAGCGGCGCAAACCGGGAAAGGCGGAAAGACCCAGGGCAGAUCGGCCAAGUCCUCACGGCCUGAGUUUGACUGGAGGGACCCACUAGUGCUGGAAGAGCAGCUCACAGCAGAUGAGAUCCUCAUCCGGGACACCUUCCGCACCUACUGCCAGGAGCGCCUCAUGCCCCGCAUCGUGCUGGCCAAUCGCAACGAAGUUUUUCACCGGGAGAUCAUCUCAGAGAUGGGGGAGCUUGGUGUGCUGGGCCCCACCAUCAAAGGGUAUGGCUGUGCUGGAGUCUCAUCUGUGGCCUAUGGACUCCUGGCCCGAGAGCUAGAGCGGGUGGACAGCGGCUACAGGUCAGCAAUGAGUGUCCAGUCCUCCCUGGUCAUGCACCCUAUCUAUGCCUACGGCAGCGAGGAGCAGCAGCAGAAAUACCUGCCCCGGCUGGCCAAGGGGGAGCUCCUGGGCUGCUUCGGGCUCACAGAGCCCAACCACGGGAGUGACCCUGGCAGCAUGGAAACCAGAGCCCGCCACAACCCAUCCAACAGGAGCUACACCCUCAAUGGGGCCAAGACCUGGAUCACCAACUCGCCUGUGGCUGACCUGUUUGUAGUGUGGGCUCGGUGUGAAGAUAAUUGCAUUCGGGGCUUCCUGCUGGAGAAAGGGAUGCGGGGCCUCUCAGCCCCCAAAAUCGAGGGCAAGUUCUCUCUGCGGGCCUCAGCCACGGGUAUGAUUAUCAUGGACGAUGUAGAGGUGCCAGAGGAGAAUGUUCUGCCCAAGGCGUCUAGUCUGGCGGGUCCCUUCGGCUGCCUCAACAAUGCCCGCUAUGGCAUCUCCUGGGGUGUGCUUGGAGCCGCUGAGUUCUGUUUGCACACAGCCCGGCAGUACACUCUGGACAGGAUCCAGUUUGGUGUCCCACUGGCCAAGAACCAACUUAUUCAGAGGAAGCUGGCAGACAUGCUCACCGAGAUCACUCUGGGCCUUCAUGCCUGCCUGCAGCUCGGCCGCUUGAAGGAUCAAGACAAGGUCACCCCGGAAAUGGUCUCCCUGCUGAAGAGGAAUAACUGUGGGAAGGCCUUGGACAUUGCCCGCCAGGCUCGAGACAUGCUGGGUGGGAAUGGGAUUUCUGAUGAGUAUCACGUGAUCCGGCAUGCCAUGAACCUGGAGGCUGUGAACACCUAUGAAGGCACUCAUGACAUCCAUGCUCUGAUCCUCGGAAGGGCAAUCACAGGGAUCCAGGCAUUCACGACCGACAAGUGAACACACUUCACCCAGGAGCCCGGAUGCUACCAAGCCCACACCCAGGGAGAUGCUGUGCUCUGAACUUAAUCAGGGAGGUGGCAGAUGGAGCCAAUUCUGGUGAACAUCUUCACUGAGACAGUGACUCCCACCGCACCAUCUCCAGCCUCUGGCCCACUUUCUGGGUCAGAAAGUCCAAAUCUGUCCUGGAUAUAUUCACGUGCAUAUCUCCAACCACGUCAAAUUCAACAAUGGCAAAUGGAACUUGUGCUCUCCCCUCUGCCAGUGAGACCACCAUCUGCUGGAAACCCCCCAAGCCAGAAAGCAGGAGGCAGUGGUGUACUGGUAAGCAUUUACCAACUGGCUCUCUGGGUGGGGGUGAGAGUGGCGAGGGAAGCCUGGAUCUGCAGUGUUUGCCAAUUUCCAUGGUGCAAAGACUCCCACUACAGCCAAUUUCAAGCUACCAAUGUGGACUAGCUAAAUGCUAAGUUGGGAAGAAAUGUGUAAGAACUGGCUCUUGCUGGUAGGAGCCGACUCAAGCACACCACAGCUGGGAGACAUCCUUGGCUCAUCCCCUUCCUCAUGCCUCACUAAAUGACCUCCCUCCUCUUCUCUCCAUCUGCCCUUCUAGAUGCAACCCCUGUAGAAGCCUCCCACUUAUCUCUUCCACGUCCACUCCUGCUCCCUGCCAUCCAUUCUCCACAAAGCAGCUAAUGUCUUUUUAUUACCAGAACCCAGGCAUGUUACCUCUCUGACCCAGUCACUCCCCUGCUAGGUAUCUAGCCAAGAAAAAUGAAGACUUGUACACGGAUGUUCAUAGCAACAUUAUUCACAAGAGCCAAAGAGCAGAAACAAGACAAAUUUCCAUCAGCUGACGAAUGGAUAAAUAAAAUGUGGUAGAUCCGUAAUAUGGAAUAUUAUUUAGCCACACAGAGGAAUGAAGUUCUGACACGUUACAACAUGGGUGAACCCUGAGAACAUUACACUCAGCAGAAGAAGCCAGUCACAAAGGACCACAUAAUUGUGACUUCAUUUAUAUGAAAUAUCCAGCAGAGGCAAAUCUGUAGAGACAGAAAGUAGAGCUGUGGUUGACAGGGACUUGGAAGGAUGCAAGGACUGGGAGGUGAUGGUAAUGGGUGGAAGGAUUCUUUUCAGGGCAGUGAAAAUGUUAUAAAGUUGAUUGGGGUGAUGGUUGCACAGCUCUGUGAACUUACUAAUAACAACUGAAUUGUAUAUCUUAGGUAGGUGAAUUGUAUGGUAUUCAAACUAUAUCUCAAUAAAGCUGUUACAAAAACAACAACAACAAAAAC